UUNGAUCAUGGCUCAGAAUGAACGCUGGCGGCGUGCUUUACACAUGCAAGUCGAGCGAGGCGGGUAGCAAUACCCAGUCGAGCGGCGAACGGGUGAGUAACGCGUGGAUUAUCUACCCUGAGGUGGGGGAUAACCCGGCGAAAGCCGGGCUAAUACCGCAUAACAUCGAAAGAUCAAAGGGGGAGCAAUCUCCCGCCAUUGGAGGAGUCCGCGUCCGAUUAGCUAGUUGGUAGGGUAAUGGCCUACCAAGGCGACGAUCGGUAGCCGGCCUGAGAGGGUGAUCGGCCACACUGGAACUGAGACACGGUCCAGACUCCUACGGGAGGCAGCAGUGGGGAAUUUUGCGCAAUGGGCGAAAGCCUGACGCAGCAACGCCGCGUGGAGGAUGACGGUCCUUGGAUCGUAAACUCCUGUCAGCAGGGAAAAAGGGGACCGGGCUCAUACCCCGGUUCAUUGAUUGUACCUGCAGAGGAAGCCCCGGCUAACUCUGUGCCAGCAGCCGCGGUAAUACAGAGGGGGCAAGCGUUAUUCGGAAUUAUUGGGCGUAAAGGGCGCGUAGGCGGNUCGACAAGUGGAAGGUGAAAUCCCUCGGCUUAACCGAGGAACUGCCCUCCAAACUGUAUUGCUUGAGGCCGGGAGAGGUGAGUGGAAUUCCCAGUGUAACGGUGAAAAUGCGUAGAUAUUGGGAGGAACACCAGUGGCGAAGGCGG
rnacentral:rRNA from 1 species